rnacentral:rRNA from 1 species
GACGUAGGGGACAAGCGUUGUUCGGAAUUACUGGGCGUAAAGGGCAUGUAGGCGGCCUUGUAAGCUUGGCGUGAAAGUCAUCGGCUUAACCGAUGGAUUGCGUCGAGAACUGCAGGGCUUGAAUCACGGAGAGGGAGCUAGAAUUCCUGGUGUAGGGGUGAAAUCUGUAGAGAUCAGGAAGAAUACCAAUGGCGAAGGCAAGCUCCUGGCCGAUGAUUGACGCUGAGGUGCGAAAGUGUGGGGAUCAAACAGG